rnacentral:tRNA from 14 species
GGGGGUGACCGGCUUCGACUCCGGACGUCGAGGCAGGGGAAGCGGGCCGAGGAUGAGCGGUUAUCUCGUUAACGAUCCGUUCAGAACAACAGCUGCCAACAAGACGCAGCCCACUACCCCCACUUACGCGCUCGCCGCUUAAGAGGGACUAGGUAGUCGUCAGCCUGGGAGAGCCUCCGGCCCAGAAUCUGACGUCGCUAGGAGGAUCACCGGCUGACCUGGUCGCGGGGUCGGUCGGGACAUCAAACAGCGACUGAGCCUAUGUCGGCUUGCCUGCGUGUCCGACGAGGCUGAGAAACAAGUAGCAGGAUGCGCCCGGAGAAGCCCUGUGUCGGGGCCGGAGGACGCGGGUUCGAUUCCCGCCACCUCCACAA